ensembl:lncRNA
AGCAGCUUGAAGCAACAAACAUGUUAUUCCCCACAGUUUCUAACUCAAAAAUCUAGAUGUAGCUUGCCUAAUGUUCAACUUGAGAUUUCUUAAGUCAGUAGUCAAGUUGUCGGCCAGGGCUGCAUCAUCUUGAAGGCCUGACUAAGGCUGGAGAAGUGGACCUUCAAGGUGGCUCGCUCACAUGGCCUUUGGGCCUCAGCGCCUCACGAUGAACAUCUCCAAAAAGCUGCCUGGCUGACAGCAUCUAAAUUCCCCCAGAGCAGGUAAUCCAAGAGAACAAACAGAAGCUCUCUUCAUGACCAAAUAUAGCACCAUGGUACACCAAGGGAUGGGACUACACAAGGAUGUGAAUGCUGGGAAAUGGGGGUUAUUGGGUUUUGUAGGCUAACUGGCUGUCACAGUGCUUAGGAAAAAUGUUGGGCUUUGUUAAUUACAAAGUCAGUUGGUAACAUGUUUUAUUAGUCUGAAGGGAUUCCUAAAUGAUAAAGCAAUGUACUUUGUAAUUCAAUGUAAAAGAAUUAGGGAGUGGACAUAAUUGUACUCUUGUGGUUAGGUUUUCAGAGGGGGAUUAAUCUGUCUCAGACUCAGCAAUGAGCAUACAGAAACUUCAAGGCACAGGAAAUUAAUCCUGUUUUACGAUACAGUCAAGUAACAUUACUGAGUCAGAUUUUUAAAUGUAGGUAUGAUUUGGCAAAACAUGGAGAAAUGUGAUGUUAUAUCUGUUACUAGGGCAGAAAUUCUCAACCUUUGAAUUCUGCAGCAUUCAAAACACUUGAUUUCUUAGGUAAAAAUUAUCUAGAAUUAAAAGUCUGGUGCAGAAAUAAUUGGGAGCUGAAAGUAAUGUGAAGCAGUUGCUACUUAAAGUCUUGUAUGUGGCCUUUUUUUGAGGGGGUACCGGGGAUCGAACUUGGGUCCUUGCACUUGCAAGGCAGGUGGCAGAACCACUGAGCUACAUCCGCGGCCCAUGUGGCCUUUUUAUGUUUGUGAUAAAAGCUUAAAUUCAACAUAUAAGGAGAUACCUAUUUGGGUAGAGUAUUUUGGACUUUCUGAAAAUGAAUUAGACAUUCCUAAUUUAUUUACUGACCUCAAAACCUCCGCAGGCGUGGUAGUGCAUGCCUGCAAUCUCAGCAUAUGGAAGGCGGAAGCAGGGGACUGCAAGUUGGAGGUUUGCCUGGGCUGCUUAGACCCUGUCUCAAAAAUAAAAAACAAAACCCAACCUCAGGUUAUCUGAGCUCAUGAGGGAUCUAAAUGUCUAAAGCAUAUUUUCAAUGUCUGUAGCUUUAACAGUAUCUGAUUAAAGGGUCUGUCUUUUUUUGUUGUUAUUACCGGGAACGGACUUAAAGGGUCUUUUUUGGACCAAGUUUCUGGAGCUCUCCCACCCCCAUCCUCAGUAGGAAUUGAACCCAGGACCCUCUACAUUGAACUAUAUUUGCAGUCCUUUUUUUUUUUUAUUUUGACGAAGGGUCUCAUGUCACUUAAGUUGCCCAGGCUGGGCUUGACCUUGGGAUCGUGCCUCAGCCUCCCAGAGUGCUGGGUUACAAAUGUGUGCUAACACAUCCAGCUUUAGUUAUUCAUCUUUGAGAAACGAUAUUGGCAGUAUCAACAGUCUUCUAUAAAGAUUUGGACAAUCUUGAAUUUGACUUGUCAACAAUAGCAAUCUCCAACCAUGAAGUGUAAUAAAACCAUCAGAUACUACAAGUGUAUUAAAUUGUUUCUACAAAUGUAUUGUGUACUGCUCUUCCAAGCUCUGGGGAUAUGGUAGUGACCAUGCCACAUAAGACCCAUGGG